rnacentral:rRNA from 1 species
GGAGAUAGCUGGUUCUCUCCGAAAUAGCUUUAGGGCUAGCCUCAAGUGAUGAUUAUUGGAGGUAGAGCACUGUUUGGACGAGGGGCCCCUCUCGGGUUACCGAAUUCAGACAAACUCCGAAUGCCAAUUAAUUUAACUUGGGAGUCAGAACAUGGGUGAUAAGGUCCGUGUUCGAAAGGGAAACAGCCCAGACCACCAGCUAAGGUCCCAAAAUAUAUGUUAAGUGGAAAAGGAUGUGGCGUUGCCCAGACAACUAGGAUGUUGGCUUAGAAGCAGCCAUCAUUUAAAGAGUGCGUAAUAGCUCACUAGUCGAGUGACACUGCGCCGAAAAUGUACCGGGGCUAAACAUAUUACCGAAGCUGUGGAUUGUCCUUUGGACAAUGGUAGGAGAGCGUUCUAAGGGCGUUGAAGCAUGAUCGUAAGGACAUGUGGAGCGCUUAGAAGUGAGAAUGCCGGUGUGAGUAGCGAAAGACGGGUGAGAAUCCCGUCCACCGAUUGACUAAGGUUUCCAGAGGAAGGCUCGUCCGCUCUGGGUUAGUCGGGUCCUAAGCUGAGGCCGACAGGCGUAGGCGAUGGAUAACAGGUUGAUAUUCCUGUACCACCUAUAAUCGUUUUAAUCGAUGGGGGGACGCAGUAGGAUAGGCGAAGCGUGCGAUUGGAUUGCACGUCUAAGCAGUAAGGCUGAGUAUUAGGCA